rnacentral:rRNA from 1 species
GACGAAUGCUGGCUGCGUGCUUAACACACGCAAGUCGAACGGUGAAGGAGAGCUUGCUCUCCUGAUCAGUGGCGAACGGGUGAGUAACACGUGGGCAACCUGCCCCAGACUUCGGGAUAACGCUUCGAAAGGAGUGCUAAUACCGAAUACGAACUCCCUAGGCAUCUUGGGAGAUGGAAAGUUUUUCAGUCUGGGAUGGGCCCGCGGCCUAUCAGCUUGUUGGUGAGGUAACGGCUCACCAAGGCGACGACGGGUAGCCGGCCUGAGAGGGCGACCGGCCACACUGGGACUGAGACACGGCCCAGACUCCUACGGGAGGCAGCAGUGGGGAAUAUUGCGCAAUGGGCGAAAGCCUGACGCAGCAACGCCGCGUGAGGGAUGACGGCCUUCGGGUUGUAAACCUCUUUCAGCAGGGAAGAAGCGAAAGUGACGGUACCUGCAGAAGAAGCACCGGCUAACUACGUGCCAGCCGCCGCCGUAAAAC